CCUACGGGAGGCAGCAGUGAGGAAUAUUGGUCAAUGGGCGGAAGCCUGAACCAGCCAAGUAGCGUGCAGGAUGACGGCCCUACGGGUUGUAAACUGCUUUUAUACGGGGAUAACACCCUCCACUUGUGGAGGUCUGCAGGUACCGUGCGAAUAAGGGCCGGCUAAUUCCGUGCCAGCAGCCGCGGUAAUACGGAAGGCCCGAGCGUUAUCCGGAUUCAUUGGGCUUAAAGGGAGCGUAGGCGGGCGUUCAAGUCAGCUGUAAAAUCGCGCGGCUCAACCGCGCCCCGCAGUUGAAACUGGACGCGUUGAGUUCACAACAGGCAGGCGGAAUUCGUGGUGUAGCGGUGACAUGCAUAGAUAUCACGAGGAACCCCGAUUGCGAAGGCAGCCUGCCGGGGUGCGACUGACGCUGAGGCUCGAAGGUGCGGGUAUCAAACAGGAUUAGAUACCCGUGUAGUC
rnacentral:rRNA from 1 species